CGCGUGUCUAAAUAUUCAUGUAUUAUGACUCAAAAAUCCGAAAAAUAACAUGACUCGUGUAUGUAUAUUAGAAAAAUUAGUAAACAUAUGUAGUUUAAUUAUUUACAAUUAAUUGUCAUACACGAAUAUUUAAAUAAGAUUACGAUAACCAAACAUGACCGUAAUCUGCCGUAUAUCAGAAAUGUUAAGUGAUUAGCGCAUCCACUGCGCAUCCAUUGCGUCUAUUAUCUGCGAGUCACGUGACAUCAUUUACCGAACGAUCACCUGCGUGAAUUGACUGCUCAGAUUGUAAUUGGAGUGCGUUGAAGGUUCUGACAUAUGACGUGUGCACAUAACAUUUUUAGACAGUGAUGACGGUAGGAUUGAAAUGUUGCUGAAUGUAGACUUCUCAGAUUUUUCCAAACUUACUGGGGACGAAGUAGCUUGAUAGCUAGGAAUGACUUUUUGUAGGAUCUAUUCCCAGGGAGAAACAAGAAAUCGGAUCGACGUCGAUUAGACGUAAAUAACGUCUAUAACUUUUUCAGUUCAAAUUAGACGUCGACUAGACGUCGAUAUUAUUUGCUAAAACAAUCAGGCCAGACAUCAAUAAACAUUUCAUUUUAAUCCAUAAUAAAAUACUUUUCAUGUAAAAAAACAUAUAUUAAAAUUUAUA